UGAAACUGGUGCUUCUUAUUC
rnacentral:piRNA from 1 species